GAUGAACGCUGGCGGCGUGCCUAAUACAUGCAAGUCGAGCGAACGGACGAGAAGCUUGCUUCUCUGAUGUUAGCGGCGGACGGGUGAGUAACACGUGGAUAACCUACCUAUAAGACUGGGAUAACUUCGGGAAACCGGAGCUAAUACCGGAUAAUAUUUUGAACCGCAUGGUUCAAAAGUGAAAGACGGUCUUGCUGUCACUUAUAGAUGGAUCCGCGCUGCAUUAGCUAGUUGGUAAGGUAACGGCUUACCAAGGCAACGAUGCAUAGCCGACCUGAGAGGGUGAUCGGCCACACUGGAACUGAGACACGGUCCAGACUCCUACGGGAGGCAGCAGUAGGGAAUCUUCCGCAAUGGGCGAAAGCCUGACGGAGCAACGCCGCGUGAGUGAUGAAGGUCUUCGGAUCGUAAAACUCUGUUAUUAGGGAAGAACAUAUGUGUAAGUAACUGUGCACAUCUUGACUGUACCUAAUCAGAAAGCCACGGCUAACUACGUG
rnacentral:rRNA from 1 species